UACGGAGGGUGCAAGCGUUGUCCGGAAUCACUGGGCGUAAAGGGCGCGUAGGCGGCCUGGUAAGUAGGGGGUGAAAUCCUGCGGCUUAACCGCAGGGCUGCCUUCUAAACUGUCGGGCUUGAGCACGGUAGAGGCAGAUGGAAUUCCCGGUGUAGCGGUGGAAUGCGUAGAGAUCGGGAAGAACAUCAGUGGCGAAGGCGGUCUGCUGGGCCGUUGCUGACGCUGAGGCGCGACAGCGUGGGGAGCAAACAGG
rnacentral:rRNA from 1 species